GUGUUUUGCUUUUUAUUUUCGAUCUACAGCUAAACCAUCUCGGUCAUUUCCAUCUUCACAGAGAAAAAUACACAGAAGAAAAAAAUGAGCAUCACAGCUCAAGAGAUCCAAGUGAAGCUAUGACAGAAACUGAAUGGCACAUGGACAUCGAAUGAAUGAGCUGAAUGGACUCAACUCAUUUCCUCAUGCUUCAUGCCCAUUGAUACCAUAAGUCUUAAGAAAAGACUCUCACCAGCAGCUCAACUGUCAUCUGCUUCAGAGGACUCAUUCUGCUCUAAAAGAGAUUUGCCCAUUAUCUAUAUCUAUAUCAUCUAUCUCUAUAUCAUCUCUAUCUCUAUCUCUAUCUAUAUCUUUAUCUCUAUCUCUAUCACCUAUCUAUCUAUCUAUCUAUCUAUCUAUCUAUCUAUCUAUCUAUCUAUCUAUCUAUCUAUCUAUCAUCUAUCUAUAUCUUCCAGCUAUACUCCUACAACAAGACUUCAUCCUCAUCUCUCCCUUGUGUGGAUCAUGACUUCAUUCUCUGAAAUCACAAGACAACAACACUGUCACCAACUCUGUAAGUUUCAUGUGACCAUGGAUAUACUGCACUCUAGCUCCCAAGAUAAAGCUUACUUGAGGCUUGCCUCUCUUAUACUCAAGGGCUCCCUGCCCCGUUUCCUUAUCAAGCAUGUCACAGAAUGCGCAGAAUAUUUUCAGACCAACUCACCAUCUGGAUUAAUACAAAUACCAAAUUGCAAAAGUCUGAAUGAGUGAAGUGUUAAGGCUUUAUUACAGUUGUAUUGUCUUACCUUCCUAUCCAAUUUGACGCUACUGAAUCACGAUCCAUUGAAGUCUCUGGCACUAAUUUAAUUUCCGACCCUCUGUCUACCACUGGCAUGAGGUAGGCCCUUGGGCAGUUUAAGCUCCUGACCUACUUGAGCAUUUCUUUUGUGCUCUGGAAGGUAUCACAGUUGAGAAAUCACUUUAAACUCUAGAACAGUCCGUUAAUCAUUGUGGCUCCCAGGGCUUUCUUGGUGCUUUUGAAAUGGAAGUAGAACCGACACAAAUAAAACACAUGGGGAACUUUUAUUGCAGAAAUCAUGAGGGUGGGUCAAGAAGAAACACAUUCUAAGUUUAUGUUUGUAGCAAUGGCUCAAUUAUUGGAAAAGUAUUUUCCUGAUGGAGAGCCUAGUGCCCUCUCUUAGAAGGGGAGGAAUGAUUCUCUACAGGGCCUCUUUUACACUAUCGAAAAGGGCACUGGGAUAUUGAACUCAUAUUAAAUGCUUGUUGGUGUGUUGAAUUAACCAUACCUUUUAAAACAAACAGUUCCCAUCAUUUGUUAGCUAAGUAUGCAUAGUAGUAAGCUCUAGCCCAUGCUGUUGGAAUAUCAGAGUUUGAAUUUCUGUUGAGGUGGAAGGUUUAUGAACUUUGCAUAUUCUUUGUUCUUUGGGGUUUGUUUGUUUGCUUUUGGGUUUUUUUUUUUUUUGGUUUUUGUUUUUUUUGGUUUUUUCAAGACAGGAUUUCUCUGUGUAGCCCUGGCUGUCCUGGAACUCACUUUGUAGACCAGGCUGUCCUCGAACUCAAAAAUCCGCCUGACUCUGCCUCCCAAGUGCUGCAAAGGCGUGCGCCACCACCGCCUGGUGAACUUUGCAUAUUCUUAUAGGUUUCAAGUAAGCAUAUGAAUUUAUUGACAAGAGUAAGGGGUCAGUACAUAAAGCAGAACUAAAGAUCCAAACAAGGGAAUAAUUAACUUUCAUAAUUUCAGCCUAAUUUGAGUAAUGUUACUUCUUUUCAACUUUUAUAAAUGAGAAGCUAUCCUAUUUCCUCUCUUAGCCAAAAGAAACUUGAGGAGGAAAGACUUACAGAAGCUUACAGCCUGUCAUUGGUGGAAAUCAAGGCAGUAAAGCAAAGUAGAAACCUGGAGGUAGGAACUAAAGAAACUGUUGCUACUGGCUUGAUCCUCUACAGCUUGCUCAAACUGUAUUUUUAUGCCACCCAGGACUACCUACCAAGGGAUGGCACUACCCUACAUAGACUGUUCCCCCCUACAGCACUGUUAAUCAAGAAAAUGCCUCAAAUACUUUCCCACAGGCCAUUCUGAUGGAAGAACAUUCUCAAUUGAGAAAUAAAAUUUGUUAGACUUGUGUAUACUGAUGAACUAAGUAUGCAAAAAAAAUUAUUUGAAGAAACUCAGUAAGUUAUUUGUCUCUACUCCACCCACUCCCAGUGUGUGUGUGUGUGUGUGUGUGUGUGUGUGUGUGUAUGUGUGUGUGUGUAUGUGUGUGUAUGUAUCUGUGCAUGUGUGCGUGCAUGUGUGUGUAUAUGUGUGUGCAUGUGUAUGCGUGUGUGCAUGUGUGUGUAUAUGUGUGUGCAUGUGUGUAUGUGUAUGUGCAUGUGUAUUUGUGUGUGUAUGUGUGCAUUCAUGUGUGUGUGUGUAUGUGUGUGUGCAUGUGUGCAUCCAUGUGUGUGUGUGUAUGUGUGUGUGCUGCUUAUGAUUACAUCACUGGAGAGUAUGACUGGAUGUCAAGAGCUAGAGAGAAGUGACUUUUCUAUUAACUUGGAUGUGCUUUUAAUGAAGACUUGUCAAGAUUCCCCACCAAUGACCUUCCUCUCUUGACUUUUUUUUUUAAGAACCAAACUAAGUGCAGACCCAUCUUUGAGAUAAGUGGAGGAACUUAUUUUAAUUUCUACUUCAUGUCAAUGUCAUCCUGGAUAGUAUUGGAAGGUUUGGAAAAUUUAACCUGAUAUUUUGUAGUGAAACAUCUCUCAAAGGAUCCCAGCAUUUCCCAAGGUUUUAAUGAAGCUAUUUUAAGACAUUAGGAAAGAAAAGAAAACCUGUAGUUGAAGGCAGACACUAAAUUAAGUGCUAAAUCUGAGUUCACUUUACUUAAAAUAGGAAUUCUGCUUUUCAAACACAAGGCAUAUUGAAAUACUACUAUUUAAAUAGAUAUGUAUGCUAUGUACACAGCUUCUUAGUGUUCUGAAUGCGGCCCGCAUUGUAAAUAGUUCAAUGUUCAGUAAACAAAGGCAGCCCAAUAAAUUCAUAAAUGUGAUUUGAAUUUUGAGAAAUACUAAUUUUCUCAGAGAAGACUGAUUUACUUAACUCCUAAAGGUAAAGAAAUGCUAAUAAUUUGACAGUGAUAUUAAAUGUACCUAAAGAAGGUGGAGACACGGACAACAGAGAGCCUGUCAACAGAACUAAGAAGCUUUUCUUCUGAACUGUAUCUUUCGUCUUACUUGAUAAAUGUUCCCUCCUUUUUCCAUGUUCCCUUGAAUUAAAAAAAAAAUCUUCAUUUGAGUUAAUGAGUUUCUCCUUCUAGAUGCAAACAUAUCCCACUGAGAAUAAAAUCCUAUUUUUCAUGCAGGUUUUUAUAUGAAAUGCUUCAAUCAAAUUAGCAGCCUUAGGGAAACACAGAUUUUUAAAAUUAUGAUGGGAAGCCAGACAAAAUUCCAACCUGGAAAGAGGAAGAUGGUAUGAGGUACCAUUCCUAGCUAAGGAGCUAUUGACAAGUGAUAGAUACUGGAUGAUGGAAGGUGCCCGUUGAACUGAACGGGCUUAGAAACAAAACCAAAAUACAUAAAUGAGUACACAAAGGGAAUGGAUCUUGGAGGAGCUAGAGACUGAAUAUUAUAAAAUGGUAUGAUGUUCUCCAAGAAUUGAUGAAAUAAAGAGGAAAAGAAAGUACACUUACAAUUCACUAAGUUACAUUAAGACAUCUAGAUAAUCUAUCAGGAGGCCAUGUGUAAGGACUGGAUGUGUUGGAAAGAAAAACCAACAUGGAAGUGUGUUAUUUUGUAGAGCAGGGAGUUUCUAAGGGUACCAGAGAAGGAAACAGGAAAUGGGAAAUAGAAACUUGGUCCAAAGAGUAGCUGUCAUUUGCUACCUUUUCCAUAGUACCUCCAAUCACUCAUUUUGAAGAAUCUCAGCUUUGAAUUCUCCCUGCUGAGGCCUACAUUAGGCUAGAGUCUUCCAUCUUCUUCCCUUCUUCAUGGUUCACUGUGAAUACCACUUCCUCUGGCAUGCUAGACUAAAUUUUCCUGUCUGUUAAUGAGAGUCCACUCUGUCUGUCAAACUAUAACUUUGUUUUACUUGGACAUAUGUUCUUUUACUUUUUCUAUUUUUGUCUAGUCAACUAGAUGGCAGUGGUUUUUUUUUCAUACCGCUGUAACCAGCAUUUACAGUGAAACACCUUGUUUGGAGAGAGCACUCUAGAGACAGCUAGACUCUGUUUUGCUCAAGAACUGAAACUAAUGAUUCAUUGAGUGUCUAUAAUGGGGAAGAUUUUUGUACUAUCUUACAACCUAAAAAUAUAAGAAAAGAUAGAAUGGACAAUGAAGAGGAUUGUUGGUCUUGUAUCAUAAAUUUGAUAACAAAAAAACUUGAGGCUUAGCUUACUAUUCUCCUAAAAAUAGGUUUAUCUAAUAUGCUUAUAAAGAAGAGUGUUUUUGCUAAUUUUAUGACUCACCUCACUGGUAACAAGAAGAAUGUAAGGACAGAAUCAAUAAAGUCAUCAGCAGAAGUAACUUAUAUGCCUCUUAUUGAGUCUACUUAUUAUAAUUUAGUAAAGAUUAUAUGAAUUGAAAUAUGAUUUUAUUAAUUUACCUUUAUACUUUCCCAUGAUUGUCAAGACUAUACUAUGCAUAUGACACUGUAGUUACUUUAAUUAUUCAUUGAUAAAUGAGAACUAUGUUGAGUUGUUUGGGCUAUGUGUAUAAAAAGUAUUAAGACAAACUUGACAGAGGUUUUCACAAGGCCUCAACCCUAGACAAAGAACUACAGACAACUAAGUCAACCUGGGUACAGGAGAGGUGACCUUCCUAUAGAAAAGCAAACCAAUUGCUUGUUCAGUGUCAAAUGGUCAGACUUGAAAACACAUAUACAGGUAGCAUUUUAUAGACUUAACAUUUCAUAUUUAGAAACAUAUUUUGUAUGAAUGAAUGUGUAUGGGAUUUUGUGUGUGCAUGCAUGCAUGAGUUUGUGUGUGUGCAUGUAUGUGUGUAUGCAUGCAUGUGCAUGCAAUAUCAAUUAGUGAAUAUAUAAAAGAGACCAUGAUCUUGAAAGGCAAGAGUGGGAAGGAAUGUCAAAGGAUUUAUAACAGUUGUUCUCAACCUUCCUAAUGCUGUGACCCUUUAAUACAAGUCCUCAUGUUGUGGUGACCCCAAGCAUAAAAUCAUUUCAUCCCUACUUCACAAUUGUAAUUUUGCUACUGUUAUGAGUCAUAAUGUAAAUAUCUGAUAUGUAGGAUAUCUGAUAUCUGACCUCUAUGAAAGGGUCCAUUUCAGACACAAGUUGAGAACCACUGGUCUAGAGAAAGAAAGGAAAGGGAUGAACAUAAUGGAAUUAGAUUAUAAUCUCAAAAAUUAUAAAGGAAUGGCUCCCCAGAAAUUAAGUUAUCUCCCAAUUAUAAUCCCAUCACUCAAGGUAUUGAUAAGGAAAUGAAAAUGAUUCAGCAUGUAUAUAAAUACAGGUAAAUUCCCUAAUAUGAUUUUAUCCAUGUAUUUACCUGUUUAUUUCCCAUCAUUAUCACUCUAUAGCCAUCUACAAAUAGAUAUAACAUAUCAUGGGUAUAAGCUGUAGAAGAUAAGAAAUCGAAAGAAAAUUCUUUGGACACUGGAAAUUAGGUACAAACUGUGAAGCUUGCCAAAUGUACUUGGAUCUAGACCUCAUAAAUAGGACAGAUUUGAUAGAGAGAAGGACAUGAUGUUGUUAACCUAACAAUAAACAACAGCCAAGAUUGUAGUCAUCUCAUCAUCAGAACAAAGGGCAAAGGAGACUGUUGGACCACCCUAAAUUUUUGUUGACAAGGAGCCAGAGGGUAGUGACAGGCAAGAGAUGGACAGGUUGGGUCAUGUAAGAAUACUUCGAGGUGAGAUAGAUGGAAGCAUCCUUUUCAGCAUGUGUAUAUGUUUGAUUGUUUUUCAGGACGACAAGAAGAAUUGAUGCUACAUGUUACAUUAAAGUGGGGUUCAAGUGGGUAAAAGUUAUACAAAGUUCAAAUAAAGUUAAACAAAGGAGUUAACCUAUUAUUUAAAAAAAAGUUGUGCUGGGAAUAAGGGCUGCAAACAAUGCUAAUACUUGGAAACAGCCACAUUAAGUUUCCUGGUUGAGCUAGAUUCAAGGUGCACCAGGUCACUCAGGCUAAGCAUUAAACCAGAGCAAGAGAAGAGAACGGUAUUACUGGUGUGUGGCGUUUCCUAUGGCUACCGAACCCUGGGAAAUUGAAAGUGUUUCAGAAGUAGGUUCUACUAAUCUUUACACAUUAAUCUGGAGUCUUUUCUUCCUAUACUGGAUAGCUAUAUGUCUAAAACAGUUUCACUAUAAAUUUUAACAUCUGCACUUGAUACUUUCAGGGAUAUUUUCUGAAUGCUAAAUGUCAACGGAAUAUAAUUACAUCCCGGCUAUUAGCAAGUUAAUUUUCACCUGUUGUAACUGAAAAUUCUAGGAACUGUUAUGCACCAGUAAUUAUGUUCUGAAUUUAUUUUCUGGGGCUGAAGAGGAGAUGGGACCUUAAUUAAUAAGGAAUUAAGUUUUCAUAAACUAAGGAAAUGAAAGUAAAAUGUUAUAGAAUGGAUGGCAAUCUCUCAACUAUGAUCUCAAAUUUCAUUCUGGAAUUUUAUAUUUCUUUCAAUCAGCUAAUUUAGUAUUUCUAGUGGGUGGGAAACAGAUGUGGAUAUUAAACUAAUUUAUUCAUA